rnacentral:rRNA from 1 species
AGUGAACGAGGGAGGGAGGAGGAACAAAGGCAAGUCGAACGGCAGCACAGUAAGAGCUUGCUCUUACGGGUGGCGAGUGGCGGACGGGUGAGGAAUACAUCGGAAUCUACUUUUUCGUGGGGGAUAACGUAGGGAAACUUACGCUAAUACCGCAUACGACCUACGGGUGAAAGCAGGGGAUCUUCGGACCUUGCGCGAUUGAAUGAGCCGAUGUCGGAUUAGCUAGUUGGCGGGGUAAAGGCCCACCAAGGCGACGAUCCGUAGCUGGUCUGAGAGGAUGUGCAGCCACACUGGAACUGAGACACGGUCCAGACUCCUACGGGAGGCAGCAGUGGGGAAUAUUGGACAAUGGGCGCAAGCCUGAUCCAGCCAUACCGCGUGGGUGAAGAAGGCCUUCGGGUUGUAAAUCUCUGUUGUUGGGAAAGAAAAGCAGCAGGUUAAUACCCCGCUGUUCUGACGGUACCCAAAGAAUAAGCACCGGCUACCUUCGUG